rnacentral:rRNA from 1 species
AACGAACGCUGGCGGCAGGCCUAACACAUGCAAGUCGAGCGCCCCGCAAGGGGAGCGGCGGACGGGUGAGUAACGCGUGGGAAUAUGCCCUUUGCUACGGAAUAGUCUCGGGAAACUGGGGGUAAUACCGUAUACGCCCUUUGGGGGAAAGAUUUAUCGGCGAAGGAUUAGCCCGCGUUGGAUUAGGUAGUUGGUGGGGUAAUGGCCUACCAAGCCGACGAUCCAUAGCUGGUUUGAGAGGAUGAUCAGCCACACUGGGACUGAGACACGGCCCAGACUCCUACGGGAGGCAGCAGUGGGGAAUCUUAGACAAUGGGGGCAACCCUAAUCUAGCCAUGCCGCGUGAGUGAUGAAGGCCUUAGGGUUGUAAAGCUCUUUCAGCUGGGAAGAUAAUGACGGUACCAGCAGAAGAAGCCCCGGCUAACUCCGUG